GCGUCACGCCUUUCAGGCAUCCUCUCCCACCUAACGGCUGCCUCGUUGAGGCGGCCGCUUUCUUUUAUCGGC
rnacentral:sRNA from 1 species